AUCUUAUAAAAAGCUGAGGUUGUGCUGGAGGAGACCAAGACACUCCUUCAGCCUCCUCGGAAACGUCUCGUGACUAGCUGGAAGAAUGAAGCUCCUGGCACUUUGUGGCUUUUUUUUUGUCUGUCUUUUGUGCCUCAAUGUCUUUGCUGCAGAAGCCUCAGGUCAGAGGGUUAGAAGACGCUGCUGCUCAAAAGCAUCCUCAGUCAACAAAAAUCGACAUAAAGGUAUAGGUUUUAAAGCUACUCCAGUGGAAACAAGGAGAUCCUGCAAGCCUUGUUCUCGGCGAGUCCCUGGAGUGUUUUCUGGACCACUUCCACAGCUAAAAUAAGCAGACUGAGAGGAGGGUGAAAAGCAUCUGCCUACAUGCACAACCAACAGUGCUUCACUAUCUUGAGGACGCUCCUUUCACAGACAGGGCAUGAGUGUACAUUGCUUUCUGUUUGGGGAAAGGCUUCAUUACUGUUUAUUCAUUCCUUCACUCAGGUACUUUUGAUAGUAUUAACCUGGCAGAAGGAAUAAGGCAAAGUUGUCUGGCUGCCACCAGACUUUUUGUCAGUGGAAUAUUCCUCUGCACCAAGCAGGGAUUUAGCUCCUCAAGUAAGGCUGGUUGAAGAGGUAGCUGAAUUGCACUGGUUUGCAUUUCUAAAUGCCUUUUAGGCAUUCCGUUGCCUAAAAGGUGGUGAAGGGCUGAUGCUUUUGUUUCUAGUUAUCAGUAUACAUGCAUAUUUAACCUUUUCUUGAAUCAUUUAUUUUAUAUUAACAAAGGUGUUUCUUUGUAUGAUCAUCAAUCAUUGAUUUUUCCUGCAGCCCUUGUAGUCAGUGCUAGCAAUCCACUUGGAAGUAAAUUCCUACAAAUGAUAAAAAUCUCAUCAUUUACAAAGGGCUGAGAAACUAGAUUAGCAGAUUAUUAAAACAGUGGUGAUGGGCCAGAUUCAAGUAAGCUUUUCAAUAUGUCUUCUGAGGGGGCUAAAUCUGACUUUAAAAUCAAAGUGGCCUGCUUUUAACUUCCUUAAGAGUGUCAUCAGGUGGUUAUUGAAGAGCAUACUGAAAAGAUAUUAAACCUAAUCAGAUUUCAUCUGUUCCUCUGAAGCCAGAAGGCAGCUGUUCUUUCAAGACAGCGGAGUUGUGUGAUCACCUCAAUAAACAAAGCUUACUGGAGCAUGAAAUAAAUGCUAAGAAUAAUACCAAAGGGCUGAAUAACAGAGAAACCAAAGCACCCGCUGAUACUUUAGCCAUGUAUCUUCUGUCCUUUCCUAACUGUCCUCUGCAUUGCUGCUGUUUCUCUGCCUGGGGGAGAGUUCUUAAAACUGAAUUACUUGCUUGUUCAUAAAUUCAGUUCUCCUUCUAGUGAAUAUGAGGAGGAGUAGAAACCUUUUCUGCUGCUGGGUAAAUUGCAGAUUGCAAAUAGUAAUUUUUCUGUCAGUACUCAUAGUACUACUCUUUCUCUUAACAUAAUUGUCAGUAUGAUAGAAAUGGUUUCAGUGCCCUUCACAAUUUGUGGGAGUUGAAUGGGAACAGUCAGAGGUCUGUUGUAACUCACACAGGCAAAUGCAAUUCCAAAAGGUCAGGUUUAUGGGCACUUGCUCAGGGUCCUGCUCUUAUUGAGAAUGUUUCUAUUGUACUGAGCACUUGAACCUAUUUCUGGCUCUUCUGUGUGCUUGCUAUUACUUUAUUUUCAUAUUUGUUUUGAGAGUAGGUAGAUCUGACACUCAGCUUCCUAUUUUUGAAGACCUGACCAUGCAUAGCAUUUUUAUAUCAAGGAUAAAGGAACUGCCAGUCCUCCUUGCAAGACCUCUGAAACAGGAGGUUGGUGAAGGAACUGUGUUUCAUUGUUUGGUUGCUGGUCAGGGGGCCAACAUAUUUUAUUUCUAUUGUUUUGUGGAGCUCGCAGAAAGAAUCUGUAGAAUAUAAAUGAAAAGUAAAUGUAAAAGGCAUUUUUGGUAUUGUUUGCAGCAGGGUUUUUCUCUGUAAAAUAUGGCCAUGUGUUUACAGCUCUCUAUAAAGCUUCACUAACAGGUUUCAAGAUUCUGUUCUCUAAUGAGUUUAAGCCCUUUUCUUUUAUAUCUAAAAAAUGUACUAAGAUUUUCCUCUUUGCCUUACACCCUCCAAACAGCAUGCUCCAAACUCUCAUACCCUCCUCCAGGCAAAAUGUUCCCUCUGAUAAGAAAAGCAUAAGCCCCAGAGACCAUUAACACAAUUCUUUCAGAAAUACUCUGUGUAGGCACACAGUUUGUGGUGACUGGGAGUGGGGCUGUGUGAGCCUCAUCCCCAGUGGGCACAGCUGUGAGCAGCAGUGAGCAGCAGUGACAGCAAUGAGCCCUGGAGUGCCCAAGGGCACUGACCAACCACCAAAGGGAGCAGAGGGCACACAGGUGCAAUGCAUCAACAUGAGGGUGUAAAAGGCUGGGCUGAAGAACCAGAAGGGCAGCUGCUUGCAGCCUUCUGAAGUGGAAUGGUGUUAAUCUGUGUGAGCAGACACCUUAAGCCUCCUGAUGUGGUAAGGUGUUACUGUGUAUGGGUGAAUGCCUAAAGCCGCCUGAAAUUGUAGGGUGACACUCUGUGUAUGGUGGCUGCCUCAACUGCAGCAUGUGCUGUGACAGCUCUGGAUCUCUGGAGAGAUCCCAACACAUAAUUUAAUGCACUUUAGUAUUUUUACUCACUAAGUUUCCUAGGCUGGCCUCAAUCCCUGGCUGGGGGCUAUUCCAGCUGAAGAUGCUACUUGUCUAAAGUCCUAGCCUUGGCUGAGCAGGACUACAGCAGGAACCUCCAAAUAAUUUCAGCAUGGAUUGUGACUGCUGCCCAAAUGCUUAGUUGCUUCAUACAGAGGUAUCAGAAUAUUGUGUGUCCUCUUGAAAGUAAUUCCUCAGCUGAGUUCGGCUCUUAUGUACCAGGCCAUUUCCCCAUGUGGUGCAACAGAGCUACCAUCUGAUCAUGGUUUCACUUACAGGCAUCUGCUCUUCCUUUUUAUUUUCCUUUCACUUCUACAUAUAUUUGUCUGGCAUUACCAGAAGAGAAACAUAUUUGCUCAGUGGCUUUUCGAAAUACUCAAGCUGUAUGCUUAUAUAAAGUAAAUUUAUCUUGUCCAAGCUGACAAAUGCUUUUCUUUUUUGUCUUGUGUUUUUGUGUGCAGUUGGCUGUCAAGCAAGAAAAUUGCACAGCCCUUAAGUUGCAAUAAAGAUGUUUCUGAAGUGUC